GAAUAGCUCAGUCAGUAGAGCAUGAGACUUAUUCUCAGGGUUGUGGGUUUGAGUCACACGUUAGACA